UCUGCUCAGCAGUGAAAACAGGAGAUGUCAGUUAUGGUGAAAUUAUCAUCAAGGAUGAGAAAAAACAAUCACGGAUUAGAGAUCAAGAAGAAACUGGAGAAGAUGAAAUCAUCACUCACGUCAAGUACAACAUCAAAACAAUAAAUCAUCAACAACAACCAAUCAGACGAAGCAGAGAUCAAGAAGAACCUGGAGAAGAUGACGUCAUCACUCAUGUCAUGUACAACAUCAAAACAUUCAGUCAUCAACAACAACCAAUCAGACGAAGCAGAGGUAAUGUUGUGUUUUCUUCAAGGGGGGGAUGUCAAGGAGGAGGUU